rnacentral:rRNA from 1 species
CAUCCAGACUCCUACGGGAGGCAGCAGUGGGGAAUAUUGGGCAAUGGGCGCAAGCCUGACCCAGCAACGCCGCGUGAAGGAAGAAGGCUUUCGGGUUGUAAACUUCUUUUCUCAGGGACGAAGAAAGUGACGGUACCUGAGGAAUAAGCCACGGCUAACUACGUGCCAGCAGCCGCGGUAAUACGUAUGGUGCAAGCGUUAUCCGGAUUUACUGGGUGUAAAGGGAGCGCAGGCGGCACGGCAAGCCUGAUGUGAAAGCCCGCGGCCCACCCGCGGGACUGCAUUGGGAACUACCGGGCUGGAGUGCCGGAGAGGUAGGCGGAAUUCCUAGUGUAGCGGUGAAAUGCGUAGAUAUUAGGAGGAACACCAGUGGCGAAGGCGGCUUACUGGACUGUAACUGACGUUGAGGCUCGAAAGCGUGGGGAGCACACAGGAUUAGAUACCCCAGUAC